ACUAGGAAUUUUGCGCAAUGGGGGCAACCCUGACGCAGCGACACAGCGUGGAGGAGGAAGGUCUUCGGAUUGUAAACUCCUUUUAUAUGGGAAGAAUAGAUGACUGUACCAUAUGAAUAAGCACCUGCUAACUACGUGCCAGAAGCAUCGGUGAUGCGUAGGGUGCGAACGUUAUCCGGAUUUAUUGGGCGUAAAGAGAUGCGUAGGCGUUUCAGUUAGUCUUUCGUUAAAAGUCACGGCUUAACCGUGAAGAUGCGUUGGAUACUGCUGAAAUUGAGACAUGAAGGGGUGAACGGAACUCCAAGUGGAGCGGUGAAAUGCGUUGAUAUUUGGAAGAACAUCAGAGGCGAAGGCGGUUCACUGGUCAUUGUCUGACGCUAAGGCUCGAAAGCGUGGGUAGCAAAACGGAUUAGAAACCCUAGUAGUCC
rnacentral:rRNA from 1 species